GGGUGCUAGUUAGAAGUGUACUUUACACUAACAGGCUAUGGUAUUGAGUUUAUGCUAUUUUCAAUUGUCCAUUUAUUAUUACAGUAUCAUUCAUAAUGAUAUUGCAAUAAUCAUUCUUAUUGACACCAUCAAUAAGAUUGGACAAUAGUGACAAUUACUUAAAAUGACAUCUUCAGGAUUGAAAAAUAAGCUCGAUGAUUCCUAAUGUUAAGACUGAAAUAGACUUCCAUCUCUUACAUUUAGGAGUC
rnacentral:lncRNA from 1 species